rnacentral:rRNA from 1 species
CCUACGGGGGUCAGCAGUGGGGAAUAUUGCACACUGGGGGAAACCCUGAUGCAGCGACGCCGCGUGAGUGAAGAAGUAUCUCGGUACGUAAAGCUCUAUCAGCAGGGAAGAAAAUGACGGUACCUGACGAAGAAGCCCCGGCUAACUACGUGCCAGCAGCCGCGGUAAGACGUAGGGGGCAAGCGUUAUCCGGCUUUACUGGGUGUAAAGGGAGCGUAGACGGCAGCACAAGUCUGGAGUGAAAUCCCGGGGCUUAACCCCGGAACUGCUUUGGAAACUGUGCGGCUGGAGUGCAGGAGGGGUAAGCGGAAGUCCUAGUGUAGCGGUGGAAUGCGUAGAUAUUAGGAGGAACACUGGUGGCGAAGGCGGCUUACUGGACUGUAACUGACGUUGAGGCUCGAAAGCGUGGGGAGCAAACAGGAUUAGAUACCCGUGUAGUC